UAUGACUGCAAAUCAUUAGUUUCAAGCAUAGUCCCAAGAGCAAAAAAGGCUUCACCUGCCAAUUUGGCUGGUUUUGCCAGCAGAAUUGUUUGUUGAUGACAUGAACAUGUGAAUAGAUCUUGUUGAUGAGCUAUCUUCUCAAACAUCUCAGUUAUAUUUUUCUUAUUGCCAACUUCUAUUGACAGGCUUUUGGAGGGAGGAGAGGACAUAAUGAAUGCAGAAGAGCAUCUACAUUAGUUAGUUAUAUAUGGAGGUUUAGGAGACUGUGGUAUCUGACAGAAACCCUGAGGAGCAUGUAGGAUUCAUCUCCCAUUUCUGCUGAAGCUGGUGACCAAACUUGCAGUGGAUCAAGUGGAAGCAAGCUCAGUGGUCAUCCUGUGAAGCCCUCUAGUCUAAAACAUCUGGCGAGGCUGUAAACGCACAGGAGACAGUCUGAGGAGUCUGCUAACUGCUCAAGUAAUUAUUUACCACCAGUGGUGUGUUCAGCACCAAUCCCAGCACAGCCAUUGCGGAGAGUCCAAGGCUGCUCCAAACCCCAGGAACAAAGGAAUUACACAUUGCAGCAGCGAUGUGGUGUUUGCCCAGAACAGAUUUUCUUUAGAAGGGCUCCUGGGAGGAUGUGAUGCAGCACAAAAGCAGAGCAGCACGAGCAGUCAGCGCCUCAUCCAGCACCCAGCAGCUUGUACAAGGUUCACCCACCAACGAUUUUAA
rnacentral:lncRNA from 1 species